rnacentral:rRNA from 1 species
CCUGUGAAAACGCCCUUCAACCCCCUUAGGGACAGGAGCCGGUAUCAGGCACAUAUAUGCCCAAAACACCUAGCUUUGCCACACCCACAAGGGAUCUCAGCAGUGAUUAACAUUGAAUAUUAGCGCAAGCUUGACUCAGUUAAAGUAAAUAGAGCCGGCCAAUCUGGUGCCAGCCGCCGCGGUUAUACCAUGUGGCUCAAAUUGACCCCUUCCGGCGUAAAGCGUGAUUAAAGUUAUUUUUUAUAGAGUUAAAUUUAAACUAAGCUGUAACACGCUUGUUUUUAAGAAAUUCCCAAACGAAAGUUACUCUAAUCUUACCAACUUGAAUUCACGACAGCUGGGAAACAAACUGGGAUUAGAUACCCCACUAUGCCCAACCGUAAACUUUUAUUUACACCUCAAUCGCCAGGGAACUACGAGCUAAGCUUAAAACCCAAAGGACUUGACGGUACCCCAUAUCCCCCUAGAGGAGCCUGUCCUUUAAUCGAUAAUCCACGUUUAACCUCACCAUUUUUAGUAAACCAGCCUGUAUACCUCCGUCGUCAGCUUACCACGUGAGCGCUUUUAAGUGAGCUCAAUGUUUUUCACCAACACGUCAGGUCAAGGUGCAGUAAAUGAAAUGGGAAGAGAUGGGCUACACUUUCUAUUUUAGAAAAUACGAAAAACUACCUAUGAAACCUAGUUGGAAGGCGGAUUUAGCAGUAAAAAAAAAUCA